rnacentral:rRNA from 1 species
CAUAGGUUAAUGAGGCGAACCGGGGGAACUGAAACAUCUAAGUACCCCGAGGAAAAGAAAUCAACCGAGAUUCCCCCAGUAGCGGCGAGCGAACGGGGAGGAGCCCAGAGCCUGAAUCAGUGUGUGUGUUAGUGGAAGCGUCUGGAAAGGCGCGCGAUACAGGGUGACAGCCCCGUACACAAAAAUGCACAUGCUGUGAGCUCGAUGAGUAGGGCGGGACACGUGGUAUCCUGUCUGAAUAUGGGGGGACCAUCCUCCAAGGCUAAAUACUCCUGACUGACCGAUAGUGAACCAGUACCGUGAGGGAAAGGCGAAAAGAACCCCGGCGAGGGGAGUGAAAAAGAACCUGAAACCGUGUACGUACAAGCAGUGGGAGCCUCUUAAUGGGGUGACUGCGUACCUUUUGUAUAAUGGGUCAGCGACUUAUAUUCUGUAGCAAGGUUAACCGAAUAGGGGAGCCGAAGGGAAACCGAGUCUUAACUGGGCGUUAAGUUGCAGGGUAUAGACCCGAAACCCGGUGAUCUAGCCAUGGGCAGGUUGAAGGUUGGGUAACACUAACUGGAGGACCGAACCGACUAAUGUUGAAAAAUUAGCGGAUGACUUGUGGCUGGGGGUGAAAGGCCAAUCAAACCGGGAGAUAGCUGGUUCUCCCCGAAAGCUAUUUAGGUAGCGCCUCGUGAAUUCAUCUCCGGGGGUAGAGCACUGUUUCGGCAAGGGGGUCAUCCCGACUUACCAACCCGAUGCAAACUGCGAAUACCGGAGAAUGUUAUCACGGGAGACACACGGCGGGUGCUAACGUCCGUCGUGAAGAGGGAAACAACCCAGACCGCCAGCUAAGGUCCCAAAGUCAUGGUUAAGUGGGAAACGAUGUGGGAAGGCCCAGACAGCCAGGAUGUUGGCUUAGAAGCAGCCAUCAUUUAAAGAAAGCGUAAUAGCUCACUGGUCGAGUCGGCCUGCGCGGAAGAUGUAACGGGGCUAAACCAUGCACCGAAGCUGCGGCAGCGACACUAUGUGUUGUUGGG